rnacentral:tRNA from 1 species
GUGAGCGUAGCUCAGUUGGUAGAGCCCAGGAUUGUGAUUCCUGUUGUCGAGGGUUCGAAACCCUUCGUUCACCCCA